rnacentral:rRNA from 1 species
UACGUAGGGUGCAAGCGUUAAUCGGAAUUACUGGGCGUAAAGGGCGCGUAGGCGGCGCAACAAGUCACUUGUGAAAUCUCCGGGCUUAACUCGGAACGGUCAGAUGAUACUGCUUUGCUAGAGUGCGGAAGGGGCAAUCGGAAUUCUCGGUGUAGCGGUGAAAUGCGUAGAUAUCGAGAGGAACACCUGAGGUGAAGACGGGUUGCUGGGCCGACACUGACGCUGAGUGCGCGAAAGCCAGGGGAGCAAACGGG